CGCAGGGGUGCUGACGGCUGAGACGACCGACGGGACGCGGAUGAUCCGCGCCACGGAGGUCGAACCCUUCACCUGAUCCGGGUAAUACCGGCGUAGGGAGCUAUAAA
rnacentral:ncRNA from 1 species